UUAUGCAAUUGCUUAUAUUCAUAUACUGUCACACAAACAACCUUUUUUUCUUAAUACUUUCAAUAUGAAGUAUUAAGACAAAAAGGUUGUUUGUGUGACAGUAUGUGAAUAUAGGCAACUGAAUAA